rnacentral:rRNA from 1 species
UACGAAGGGUGCAAGCGUUACUCGGAAUUACUGGGCGUAAAGCGUGCGUAGGCGGUUCGUUAAGUCUGUCGUGAAAGCCCUGGGCUCAACCUGGGAAUUGCGAUGGAUACUGGCGAGCUAGAGUACGGUAGAGGAUGGUGGAAUUCCCGGUGUAGCGGUGAAAUGCGUAGAGAUCGGGAGGAACACCCGUGGCGAAGGCGGUGCUCUGGGCCGGAACUGACGCUGAGGAGCGAAAGCGUGGGGAGCAAACAGG